rnacentral:rRNA from 1 species
UCGCAGGCGGUUUCUUAAGUCUGAUGUGAAAGCCCCCGGCUCAACCGGGGAGGGUCAUUGGAAACUGGGAAACUUGAGUGCAGAAGAGGAGAGUGGAAUUCCACGUGUAGCGGUGAAAUGCGUAGAGAUGUGGAGGAACACCAGUGGCGAAGGCGACUCUCUGGUCUGUAACUGACGCUGAGGAGCGAAAGCGUGGGGAGCGAACAGGAUUAGAUACACCCAGUAGUCCCA